UACGGAGGGUGCAAGCGUUAUCCGGAUUUAUUGGGUUUAAAGGGUCCGCAGGCGGACCUGUAAGUCAGGGGUGAAAGCCGGCAGCUUAACUGUCGAACUGCCUUUGAAACUGCAGGUCUUGAGUGAAAUUGAAGUAGCUGGAAUGAGUAGUGUAGCGGUGAAAUGCAUAGAUAUUACUCAGAACACCAAUAGCGAAGGCAGGUUACUAAAUUUCAACUGACGCUGAGGGACGAAAGCGUGGGGAGCGAACAGGAUUAGAUACCCUGGUAGUCCACGCCGUAAACGAUGGAUACUGUCUGUUGGGUUGUAAGAUUCAGUGGAUAAGCGAAAGUGAUAAGUAUCCCACCUGGGGAGUACGUUCGCAAGAAUGAA
rnacentral:rRNA from 1 species